AUACCUUUCUCGGCCUUUUGGCUAAGAUCAAGUGUAGUAUCUGUUCUUAUCAGUUUAAUAUCUGAUACGUGGGCCAAUGGCCCAUAUGAUAUUAAAUUUAUUUUUUUAGGGGGAAGGCCCGUUAAAAUAGCUUGCUAUUUGGGCCUUCGUAUGUCGCCUUAGCGUUGCACUGUUGCUUGGGCCGGGCAUACCUCAC